AUUGAACGCUGGCGGCAGGCCUAACACAUGCAAGUCGAGCGGGGUUUUCGGACCUAGCGGCGGACGGGUGAGUAAUGCGUAGGAAGCUACCCGAUAGAGGGGGAUACCAGUUGGAAACGACUGUUAAUACCGCAUAAUGUCUACGGACCAAAGUGUGGGACCUUCGGGCCACAUGCUAUCGGAUGCGCCUACGUGGGAUUAGCUAGUUGGUGGGGUAAUGGCUCACCAAGGCGACGAUCCCUAGCUGGUUUGAGAGGAUGAUCAGCCACACUGGGACUGAGACACGGUCCAGACUCCUACGGGAGGCAGCAGUGGGGAAUAUUGGACAAUGGGCGCAAGCCUGAUCCAGCCAUGCCGCGUGUGUGAAGAAGGCCUUCGGGUUGUAAAGCACUUUCAGUAGGGAGGAAGGGUGUUGUGUUAAUAGUACAGCAUUUUGACGUUACCUACAGAAGAAGCACCGGCUAACUCUGUGCCAGCCGCCGCGGUAAAAC
rnacentral:rRNA from 1 species